rnacentral:rRNA from 1 species
GAAACCGAGUCUUAAUUGGGCGUUAAGUUGCAGGGUAUAGACCCGAAACCCGGUGAUCUAGCCAUGGGCAGGUUGAAGGUUGGGUAACACUAACUGGAGGACCGAACCGACUAAUGUUGAAAAAUUAGCGGAUGACCUGUGGCUGGGGGUGAAAGGCCAAUCAAACCGGGAGAUAGCUGGUUCUCCCCGAAAGCUAUUUAGGUAGCGCCUCGUGAAUUCAUCUCCGGGGGUAGAGCACUGUUUCGGCUAGGGGGCCAUCCCGGCUUACCAACCCGAUGCAAACUGCGAAUACCGGAGAAUGUUAUCACGGGAGACACACGGCGGGUGCUAACGUCCGUCGUGAAGAGGGAAACAACCCAGACCGCCAGCUAAGGUCCCAAAGUCAUGGUUAAGUGGGAAACGAUGUGGGAAGGCCCAGACAGCCAGGAUGUUGGCUUAGAAGCAGCCAUCAUUUAAAGAAAGCGUAAUAGCUCACUGGUCGAGUCGGCCUGCGCGGAAGAUGUAACGGGGCUAAACCAUGCACCGAAGCUGCGGCAGCGACACUGUGUGUUGUUGGGUA